UGGUCUUCUCUUUUAGUUUUGUUCAAGCAAGAAUUGUCGAAUUCUUGUAUUUUUCUCCAUAUUGUUGAUUAAUAAAAAGUCGUGCUUCUGCGAUUAACUCUCUUUGUUAAUUCUACACUUUUAAAUCUUGUUUAUCGUUAUGAUCUUCAUUAUUUCAUAUCGCAUCAUUAAUCUCAUUCACUACAAUCCUUCCGAAUCCAACAAGUGGCAUUGGAGCUUAGUUCUUCUUCUGAUGAUCGGUUGAGGGUUUUUCAGAGAUGACUACCAUAAAAUAUGAAAUUUCACUGUUGGAUCGCAAUAUAAGAUUUUCUUUGUGACAAGUAAACAUGAGGGCUAUUCUAACGCAGUUGGAUUUGGACGAUGCGCUACUGGCUUUGAGAAAAUACCAACUAAUGGGACAACGGAAGAGAAAACAACGGAGGGAUCGGAAAGCUUUGUCGUUGAUUAAUCUUCAUCUAUCCAAUAAUAUUCUAUAGGAUGUCUUGAAGGAGAAAAUAACAGCUUCUUUGUAGUUGAAAUUGGAGCAGUUAUGUAUGACCAAGAAUCUUACCAGCAAACUGGCUCUAAAGCAGAAGGUGUGUUCCCAUCGCAUGGCAGAAGGAGAGUCGUUGGAAGGCCAUAUUGUCAUGUUCAAGGAAAUUAUCGCAGAUUUGAAAACGUCAAAGGUUAAGUACAAUGAAGAGGAUCUUGCAUUGAUCCUUUCAUAUUCGCUGCUUGGCUCUUAUGUAUCGUUUCAGGACACUAUUUUGUAUAGUUAGGAUACUUUGACUAUAGACGAUAUCUAUAAUACUUUACAUUCAAAGGAGAAGUUGAAACUUUAGGUUGGAGCCACAUCGAGGGAUGAGGAAGCUCUUAUAUCUCAUGGUGGUCGACGGAGGGGAAGAUUGAAGAAUAACAGCAAUUUGUCUUACUUCUAUUGUAGAUGUAAGGGACAUAUUCAGAAGGAUUGUGAUAAAUUGCAAACUAAAGAUGAUUUAGCUACAAAUUGUAGAGCGCAACCUUUAACUUUAGAUGAAACAAAUGUAGUUGAGGAUUUUUCAAACGACGAAGAUGUGAAGUUGACCAUGGUAUCGAACAUAGAAUCUAAGCCUGACGAGGAGGGGAUUCUUGAUUUGGCAUGUUCGCAUCAUAUGUGUUCUAAUCAGAAUUUCUUUCAGACAUAUGAGACUAUCAAGAAAGGUGAAGUUGUGAUGGGAAACAACUAGUUUUGUCGUGUUAAUGGAAUUGGUUGAGUCAG
rnacentral:lncRNA from 1 species